rnacentral:rRNA from 1 species
AUUGAACGCUGGCGGCAGGCUUAACACAUGCAAGUCGAGCGAGAGGGGGACGGGUGAGUAAGGUCUGGGAAACUGACUGAUGGAGGGGGAUAAGUACUGGAAACGGUAGCUAAUACCGCAUACCAGAAGAUGUGACCAGAUGGGAUUAGCGAGGUGGUGGGGUAAUGGCUGACCAAGGCGACGAUCCCUAGCUGGUCUGAGAGGAUGACCAGCCACACUGGAACUGAGACACGGUCCAGACUCCUACGGGAGGCAGCAGUGGGGAAUAUUGCACAAUGGGCGCAAGCCUGAUGCAGCCAUGCCGCGUGUGUGAAGAAGGCCUUCGGAUUGUAAAGCACUUUCAGCGGGGAGGCGUUACUCACAGAAGAAGCACCGGCUAACUCCGUGCCAGCAGCCGCGGUAAUUC